rnacentral:tRNA from 1 species
GAGAUUAUAAUUUAAUUGGUUAAAAUAGUACUUUGAUAAGGUACCAACAUAGGUUCAAUUCCUGUUAAUCUUA